UGUUCCAAUGUGGGAACAGAGCGUGCCCAAUGUGAAAGAGGAUGUGUACCAAGUUGCAGAUGAGCAGUGCGCAACGUAUUUGGUGUUCCAGCUCUACUAGGUGGGCGAGCAGAUCACCCAAAAAAUUUUCAGUGCAGUUGUAAGUCAUUGUAUGAUGACGAUGCUACAUGCACGCUAAGCAAAAUAAAUGGAUAACAUUUUUUCAUGAAUAAUAAUGAAAAUCAGUCCACAAACCGGUGGAAAAAGAGGAGAAGCAAAAAUAAAAACCUUUAAUUCUACGUUCUUGAACUUCGCGGAAUAGCUAAACAGAUUCACA